AUCCUUGCUUUUGUGGAGUCUCUUUUUUUUUCUUCAAAUUUUGGGGCUUUUAUUUGCAGGGUUCGAAGCUCUUUGUACUCAAGUAACAUUGCCCUUGAGCUUUUUGUUGAAAGGUUGAGUUCGAUGAAGAAAUAUGUAUUUGGAUUAGGCUCUGUUCAGGAAAAAGUUGUCAUGUUAAGCAAACAAUUGAGCCAUUUAAAAAGUUUGCACGAUCUUAAUGGCCACAUCAAAAGCAGCUUUCACAUUCAAUUUUAUUCUCCCAAAAGCUACUAACGUAGCUCCAAUGAUGGGUCGAGUAAGGUCCCUCAGUCCAUGAUUCACUCUCGAUUGUCCGUUUCCUUUUGCAUGUCGGAUGAGUGGCUGGAUUUCGAAAGCUAAGUUCAAUUUUUAAUUCGAUUCUUUACUGUUAGCAUAGAUUGUCAUCAUUUAUGCCUUUUUGCUGUGAAUUAUUUCCAUAUUUUGUUGCACUGUUAGGUCAGGUUUUGAGGGUUCCUUUAUUUGGUUUUGGGGGUUCCUUUAUUUGUUUCGUUUUCUCUCAUUUUGCGGAUGCAUCUCUCUGUUCUAUGUAUUGUUCUUAAGUAAGGUCAGUUUCCUUUAUUUUUUUUUGGGUUUUCAGUUCGUUAAUAUGUGACUCUGUGUUUAGAUUUUUCGUUCGUGUAUGAUUAAAUGGGUAUUGGGUUUUGGUUGUUGAAAAUAUGAUUUUUUCCUGCUUUUCUUGCUCAUUUUUCUGGAAAUGGGAAAAUUUGAGGAAAUUGAUAAAAUG